UGCCAGCCGCCGCGGUAAUACGGAGGGUGCGAGCGUUAAUCGGAAUUACUGGGCGUAAAGCGCAUGCAGGCGGUCUGUUAAGCAAGAUGUGAAAGCCCGGGGCUCAACCUCGGAACAGCAUUUUGAACUGGCAGACUAGAGUCUUGUAGAGGGGGGUAGAAUUUCAGGUGUAGCGGUGAAAUGCGUAGAGAUCUGAAGGAAUACCGGUGGCGAAGGCGGCCCCCUGGACAAAGACUGACGCUCAGAUGCGAAAGCGUGGGGAGCAAACAGGAUUAGAUA
rnacentral:rRNA from 1 species